rnacentral:rRNA from 1 species
UACGUAGGGUGCAAGCGUUGUCCGGAAUCAUGGGGCGUAAAGCGCGCGUAGGCGGCCUCAUAAGUCUGCUGUGAAAGUCAAAGGCUCAACCUUUGAAAGCCGGUGGAUACUGUGGGGCUAGAGUACGGAAGAGGCGAGUGGAAUUCCUGGUGUAGCGGUGGAAUGCGCAGAUAUCAGGAGGAACACCAAUAGCGAAGGCAGCUCGCUGGGACGUUACUGACACUGAGGCGCGAAAGCGUGGGGAGCGAACAGG